rnacentral:rRNA from 1 species
AGGACGAACGCUGGCGGCGUGCCUAACACAUGCAAGUCGAGCGAGGAGAUUCCUUCGGGAUGAUCCUAGCGGCGGACGGGUGAGUAACACGUGGGCAACCUGCCUCAUAGAGAGGAAUAGCCUUCCGAAAGGGAGAUUAAUACCUCAUAACAUUGCAGUUUCGCAUGGAACAGCAAUUAAAGGAGUAAUCCGCUAUGAGAUGGGCCCGCGGCGCAUUAGCUAGUUGGUGAGGUAAUGGCUCACCAAGGCGACGAUGCGUAGCCGACCUGAGAGGGUGAUCGGCCACAUUGGGACUGAGACACGGCCCAGACUCCUACGGGAGGCAGCAGUGGGGAAUAUUGCACAAUGGGGGAAACCCUGAUGCCAGCAACGCCGCGUGAGUGAUGACGGCCUUCGGGUUGUAAAGCUCUGUCUUCAGGGACGAUAAUGACGGUACCUGAGGAGGAAGCCACGGCUAACUACGUGCCAGCCGCGGC